rnacentral:rRNA from 1 species
UACGGAGGGUGCAAGCGUUAAUCGGAAUUACUGGGCGUAAAGCGUGCGCAGGCGGUUUUGUAAGUUUGUCGUGAAAGCCCCGGGCUCAACCUGGGAAUUGCGAUGAAGACUGCAAGGCUUGAAUCUGGCAGAGGGGGGUAGAAUUCCACGUGUAGCAGUGAAAUGCGUAGAGAUGUGGAGGAACACCGAUGGCGAAGGCAGCCCCCUGGGUCAAGAUUGACGCUCAUGCACGAAAGCGUGGGGAGCAAACAGG